CACCCGCGAGAGGCGGAGCUCCGGAGCAAUACCCGACACGGCCGGUCCGACGCCGCCGGCCCGCGGUACUGCCCGACCCGGAAGUGCUCCUUUCACUUCCGCGGCGGAAGAGGCGGUGACCGAGGCCGGAAGCGGACAGCGGCGCCUUGAGGCAUGACGGGAAAUGUAGUUUUCCUCCCUUCAGUUUCACCUGUCCUGCCCUGCGAUUGGCUGUGCAAGUGUGGAAGCUGAGCAGGCCCGCAAAGCAACCUUUGCCCGCGGCUCAGGCUGCCAGGUGCUCCUUCCUCCCUGCCCCCUGCCAAUGUCCAAGCUGCAGGGUGUCUGUUCCUUAAUGUGGAAGCCUCACAAAGGUUUUCUUUCUUUGCCUUUUUCUCCAGGGGCUCACUGGUGCAAGGUUCUACCUAUAAAAUUAAUUCUUCCCACAAGCACUAAUGACACCUGCUAUGGGACAGGCCCCAUGUUCGGCUUGGAGGAUUUGAAAAAAAAAAAAAAAAGAAAUGAAUAUAAUGAAUAUGGAGCACCUGGGUGGGGCUCAGUGGUUGAACAUCUGCAUUUGGCUCAGGGCCUGAUCCCCCAGGGUCCUGCAAUCAGUCCCCUCGCAGAGAGUGAAUUAAAAAAAAAAAAAAAAAAAAAGACAGAAAAGAAAAAAAGAAUAUAUGCAGAUUGUGGGAAAGACAGGUAAGUAAACCAAUAUCACAGCACAGCGCUUGUGCAAUAUGGGCAGAGUCCAAGUUAAUCGCAGAGAGCACAGAGGAGGGGAGUUUGGGAAGAGUUUCCUGGAAAAGGUAAUUCUGGCCCUAAAUUUUGAAGGACAAGGAGAAGUUGGAUAAAUGGUGGGGGGGAGCGGGGAGGUCGGGAUAAAGCAACAGAAAGUUCAUGAAGCAACAGGGCAGAGUCAAGGAACUAGCUGAGUGUGACUAGGAUGUAUGUGUUGGGGGGUAGGGGUGCGGCUAGGAGAAGUGGAUUGUAAAAGAUGUGGGAUAAAGAAGCAAGUUAUAAGGAUUAAGGAGAAAAUCUGAACUUGACCUUGAAAUCCAGGGAAUCAGAAUACAAUUUUAAGCAAAAAUGGAUUUAGAACAAUCAGUCUGGCAGUAGGUUAGAGGAUGAUCAGAGGAACAACCUAAAAUUCAGGGGGUUACGUGGGAUGUUUUACAUAUAUCUAUAUCAAUAUCUAUAUCUUUAUAUAGAAGAAACGUCCAACCUCCAUGGCAAUCCUGGUGUAGUCAGUCGCAGCGGCAAGUCAAAUGGUGCCCUCUUGAAACCUUGUAAACUUCAGGGUUUUUUUUCCUUUUUUUUUUUUAAAGAUUUUAUUUAUUUAUUCAUGAGAGAUACAGAGAGAGAGAGGCAGAGACACAGGCAGAGGGAGAAGCAGGCUCCAUGCCGGGAGCCCGACGUGGGACUCGAACCCAGGACCCCGGGGUCACGCCCUGUGCCGAAGGCAGGUGCUAAACCACCGAGCCACCCUGGGAUCCCCAACUUCUGUUUUUCUAAGGUCACUACCCAAGAAAACUUACGGAGACAAAGUAAAAUAACACAUAAGACAAGAAUAAAAAUGUGAGAUCUUCUACAAAAUACCUGGUCUGGACUCUUCAAAAAAUGUGAUGAAGACUAAAAGGACCACAGAGGUAGCCCUACAAUGGAGGUUCUAGAAAUGUAACAAAGAAGAAAUCAUUUAUUUUGAAUGGAUGAAAAUAAGGAGAUUACAACUUAUCAGAUUGUACUAUAAUUAUUCUCAGAAAUGGUGCUCACUUUUACUAACUGCUGGAUUUUCUUCUGCUGCUGUUUCUCCCUAGAGCAGAAGCAUCACAAAGACUAUUUUCUUCAUUUCUGUGUUAUUCCCUUGGGCUUCAAAUAUAACUAUAGAUCCUGGUAUGGCUUCCAGGACAGUGUUUCAGGCACCUUGGGGACAGUAGAAAAUACACUGAAGUCCUAGUGGAAGAAGCUGAAGCCACUUUGCCAAGAUACUUGAUUCUGUAAGAGCUUUCAGUGGUUAGUGUAACUAUUGAAUGUAGGGAUAUCUAUCAUGUUUCUUCCGCAAGAUGUAUCGUAAAUCAUGUUAUGUAUAGAUGUUAUUUAACCCCCUUGCUUUUGUUUAACAAUUAGGAUUUUUUUCUCCUGGUGUAUUUUUUUUUUAAGAUUUAUUUAUUUGAGAGAGAAAAAGCGAGGGAGAGAAAGAGAGAGAAUACAUGGGGGAGGGGGCAAGAGAGAUGGAGAAGCAGACUUCCUACUGAGCAGGACCCUGAUACAGGGCUAGAGCUCAGGACUCUGGGAUCAUGACCUGAGCC